rnacentral:rRNA from 1 species
GGUUAAGCGACUAAGCGUACACGGUGGAUGCCCUGGCAGUCAGAGGCGAUGAAGGACGUGCUAAUCUGCGAUAAGCGUCGGUAAGGUGAUAUGAACCGUUAUAACCGGCGAUUUCCGAAUGGGGAAACCCAGUGUGUUUCGACACACUAUCAUUAACUGAAUCCAUAGGUUAAUGAGGCGAACCGGGGGAACUGAAACAUCUAAGUACCCCGAGGAAAAGAAAUCAACCGAGAUUCCCCCAGUAGCGGCGAGCGAACGGGGAGCAGCCCAGAGCCUGAAUCAGUGUGUGUGUUAGUGGAAGCGUCUGGAAAGGCGUGCGAUACAGGGUGACAGCCCCGUACACAAAAAUGCACAUGCUGUGAGCUCGAUGAGUAGGGCGGGACACGUGGUAUCCUGUCUGAAUAUGGGGGGACCAUCCUCCAAGGCUAAAUACUCCUGACUGACCGAUAGUGAACCAGUACCGUGAGGGAAAGGCGAAAAGAACCCCGGCGAGGGGAGUGAAAAAGAACCUGAAACCGUGUACGUACAAGCAGUGGGAGCACGCUUAGGCGUGUGACUGCGUACCUUUUGUAUAAUGGGUCAGCGACUUAUAUUCUGUAGCAAGGUUAACCGAAUAGGGGAGCCGAAGGGAAACCGAGUCUUAACUGGGCGUUAAGUUGCAGGGUAUAGACCCGAAACCCGGUGAUCUAGCCAUGGGCAGGUUGAAGGUUGGGUAACACUAACUGGAGGACCGAACCGACUAAUGUUGAAAAAUUAGCGGAUGACUUGUGGCUGGGGGUGAAAGGCCAAUCAAACCGGGAGAUAGCUGGUUCUCCCCGAAAGCUAUUUAGGUAGCGCCUCGUGAAUUCAUCUCCGGGGGUAGAGCACUGUUUCGGCAAGGGGGUCAUCCCGACUUACCAACCCGAUGCAAACUGCGAAUACCGGAGAAUGUUAUCACGGGAGACACACGGCGGGUGCUAACGUCCGUCGUGAAGAGGGAAACAACCCAGACCGCCAGCUAAGGUCCCAAAGUCAUGGUUAAGUGGGAAACGAUGUGGGAAGGCCCAGACAGCCAGGAUGUUGGCUUAGAAGCAGCCAUCAUUUAAAGAAAGCGUAAUAGCUCACUGGUCGAGUCGGCCUGCGCGGAAGAUGUAACGGGGCUAAACCAUGCACCGAAGCUGCGGCAGCGACGCUGAUGCGUUGUUGGGUAGGGGAGCGUUCUGUAAGCCUGCGAAGGUGUGCUGUGAGGCAUGCUGGAGGUAUCAGAAGUGCGAAUGCUGACAUAAGUAACGAUAAAGCGGGUGAAAAGCCCGCUCGCCGGAAGACCAAGGGUUCCUGUCCAACGUUAAUCGGGGCAGGGUGAGUCGACCCCUAAGGCGAGGCCGAAAGGCGUAGUCGAUGGGAAACAGGUUAAUAUUCCUGUGCUUGGUGUUACUGCGAAGGGGGGACGGAGAAGGCUAUGUUGGCCGGGCGACGGUUGUCCCGGUUUAAGCGUGUAGGCUGGUUUUCCAGGCAAAUCCGGAAAAUCAAGGCUGAGGCGUGAUGACGAGGCACUACGGUGCUGAAGCAACAAAUGCCCUGCUUCCAGGAAAAGCCUCUAAGCAUCAGGUAACAUCAAAUCGUACCCCAAACCGACACAGGUGGUCAGGUAGAGAAUACCAAGGCGCUUGAGAGAACUCGGGUGAAGGAACUAGGCAAAAUGGUGCCGUAACUUCGGGAGAAGGCACGCUGAUAUGUAGGUGAAGUCCCUCGCGGAUGGAGCUGAAAUCAGUCGAAGAUACCAGCUGGCUGCAACUGUUUAUUAAAAACACAGCACUGUGCAAACACGAAAGUGGACGUAUACGGUGUGACGCCUGCCCGGUGCCGGAAGGUUAAUUGAUGGGGUCAGCGCAAGCGAAGCUCUUGAUCGAAGCCCCGGUAAACGGCGGCCGUAACUAUAACGGUCCUAAGGUAGCGAAAUUCCUUGUCGGGUAAGUUCCGACCU